rnacentral:rRNA from 1 species
AAAGUGGAGCAAUCCAUGAGUACAGUGGCGUACGGGUGAGUAACACGUGGAUCAUCUACCUUCUAGUGGGGAAUACCUCCGGGAAACUGGAGACAAUACCGCAUAAGCUCGUAAGAGGAAAGCAGCAAUGCGCUGGAAGAGGAGUCCGCGGCUGAUUAGCUAGUUAGCGGGGUAAUGGCCCACCAAGGCGAAGAUCGGUAGCCGGCCUGAGAGGGCACACGGCCACACUGGCACUGAAACACGGGCCAGACUCCUACGGGAGGCAGCAGUGGGGAAUCUUGCACAAUGGAGGAAACUCUGAUGCAGCGACGCCGCGUGAGCGAUGAAGCCCUUCGGGGUGUAAAGCUCUUUCGACGGGAACGAUAAUGACGGUACCCGAAGAAGAAGCUGCGGCUAACUACGUGCCAGCAGCCGCGGUAAUACGUAGGCAGCAAGCGUUGUUCGGAAUUACUGGGCGUAAAGAGUGUGUAGGCGGUGUUCUAAGUCUGUUGUGAAAUCUCCCGGCUUAACUGGGAGGGUGCGGCGGAAACUGGAAUGCUAGAGGAUGGGAGAGGUAAGCGGAAUUCCUGGUGUAGCGGUGAAAUGCGUAGAUAUCAGGAGGAACACCUGUGGUGUAGACAGCUUACUGGACCAUUUCUGACGCUGAGACACGAAAGCGUGGGUAGCAAACAGGAUUAGAUACCCUGGUAGUCCACGCCCUAAACGAUGCAUACUUGGUGUGAGCGAUUCAUUUCGUUCGUGCCGGAGCUAACGCGUUAAGUAUGCCGCCUGGGGAGUACGGUCGCAAGGCUGAAACUC